rnacentral:rRNA from 1 species
UACGUAGGGUGCGAGCGUUUGUCCGGAAUCAUUGGGCGUAAAGCGCGUGUAGGCGGUCCGGUAAGUCCGCUGUGAAAGUCGAGGGCUCAACCCUCGAAUGCCGGUGGAUACUGUCGGGCUUGAGUACGGGAGAGGCGAGUGGAAUUCCUGGUGUAGCGGUGAAAUGCGCAGAUAUCAGGAGGAACACCCGUGGCGAAAGCGGCUCUCUGGAACGGUACUGACGCUGAGACGCGAAAAGCGUGGGGGAGCGAACAGG